UGGUAUGUCUGGCCCGGGGCUCAGAGUCUGUCAAGUGAGGAGACUUAUUUUUAUCUUACUGUCAGAGGCUGGCACAGAUGUGGACGGCUUUCUAGAUUGAGUUUCCAGGAGCCUGCCAUUCUAUUAUCCUCUGAAAACCAUGAAUUACUGUCCACACCCUUCCCGUGUGGACCUGUGCGGUCCGUCUUUCCAACUUGUGGAGUGUUGAGCUCUGGAGCGAGUCCUCGCCACACGCAGGUCUUGCUCACACUUCCCAACACCCGGCAAGGCAGGGCUACAUCUUCAGUUUUUAUUUUAGGAAGCAGGGACUAAGAGAGAUUGAGAUACUUUAGAGGGUCACAGAGCUCUGAGUCAGGACCUCUGAGCCUACCUGUCACCUCCUGCACUGCACUGGUCUCCAGCAGGGUCAAUCUGUCCCCCUGCAGCUGGAUGGGAAGGUGGGGGCUGGUGAGUGGGGGGUGUGGAGCUGGCUGGGCAGACCCUCCCCUACCUUCCAGCUGUGAGCCUGUGGUUGCAACUGGUCUCCAGCAGGGUCAAUCUGUCCCCCUGAAGCUGGAGGGGAAGGUGGGGGUUGGUGGGUGGAGGAUGUGGAGUCAGCUGGGCAGACCCUCCCCUACCUCCCAGCUGUGAGCCUGUGGUUGCAGGCUGUGGCCUCCUACCUGUGUGGCCAGGUCACUUGCUGCCCUCACAGCCUCUCCACACAGACGCCAAAGGUCUCCUUUCCUCCUGGGCUCUGCCCUGACAUUACUUCAUUGGUCUUACCCAAGACCCGUCCUGCCUGAGCCCCAUUCUCUCCCUUUCCCAGGAUGGCAGCUGAAUGGCUGGAUGGGAUCUGAAGUCUCCCUUUCCCAGGAUGGCAGCUGAAUGGCUGGAUGGGAUCCCGUCUGGCGGUUACCAAGCAUGGUCCCUGCCUCCUGCUUCUCCAUCAGGAACACGGUGGUGGUCUUCCCAGUGGGGCCCGCAGGAGUGUGCACGGAUGUCCACAGCUGCUGUAAUGUUUGCCUCUGAAGCCAGAGUACGCAUCGUGGGGUGCUAUCGCUGUGCGCCUCUGCAGAGCCCAACAGUUCAGACUUCAAAACUUCAGGGCCGUGGCCUGGGAUUCAGGCGGAAGAGACAGAGUAUUUGAUAAUUCAUCCAGUUACACUGCCCUUCUGUAGCGAGCUGCCGAACUGGACCCUGGAGGACAUUUGCACAGAUGCUCAUAUACCUGAUUAGAUGUGCUUUCACCACAAGGAAAUGCAGCUAAGAUCCUCAUCGUGGAAAUGCAGUUUCCUUUUAUUUGAGACUGCCUGCUGAAGGUUGGAUGGGACCAGGGCUGACGGAAGACAAAAGGCAUCUUUGGUAUCAUUUGAGGGUUAAUACAAAUCACUUCCUUCUUUACAAAAAAGGGUAAUUACAAGCACUGGUAGAUUAACUGUAUUAGACCCUGAUUGUAUGCAGGGGCCAUUUAUUACAGGCAACGUUUAUUCCACACUUCCUGGUGCCUCUUCGGCAUCCCACACUGGUGAUUUCACAGUGGAAGCUUCCAUUCUGGGUUUCUGUUGUGGGAGGUGUGUGGCCUCUGGCACCGGUACAGCCCCUGGGCAUGUCUAGAUCUGCCAGGAGUGGUGGUAGAAAGGUGCCAGCCGGGGCUUCAGGGCCCAGACGCUUCUCCUCCCAUCUGGAUGGACACUCGGGGUUCCAGUUACACACGGGCAGAAUCAGCACCUUGGGAAUUUGAGCCAUCUGCAAGCAGAUCCCUUUACAUUCAAGGGAAGGCUUGUGUCUGACAAAUGAAAAUGGGACACUUUCCAGCUUUCCACGUUGUAAGCUAAACCACUUGCCCCUGCAUCAGCAUGUCUGGAAGUGGGCUCCUCAGAUGCCGGAGAUCUGCAGACGUGCUCUUGGGGUCUGGUUCUCUGUACUCCAUGUUACCUGGGCUGCCUUGUGAAUGAGCCCUAUCUGUGGUUUCACAUGUGGGUGUAUGCAGAGCUCUUCCCAAGGAGUGGGCGGGCACUUCUUCAUAUGUGGGUCUCCAGCUGUCCCUCUGGUCUGCUGCUCCAGACUUCAGGCUGGAAUCACACAAAUGCCACUCCGUUUCACUAAACCCCACUCUGGUCUCAGGCCUUGCAGUCAGCCGCUCUGCGCUGGCCUCUAGCUCUCUCUAAUUUGGAAUGCUGUCACUGGCCCCAGAUGCUGCUCCUCUCAUGGCUCGCUGGCUCACCUGUUCCACAGCAGCUGCCUGUGGACUCCUCCAGGUGCAGGGGACAGGGCCAGUAUUGCAUAAAAGUUUAAAAAGUCACCACAGCAGAGGGACAUCAUGUCUGGUUGCCAAACUUGUUUUUUUCUGACUUUUCAUUGUAAAACAAAACACAGAUAUGGAAAACCACACAAAACACGCACACAGCUGAAAUGGGUUAUGAUAAAGCAGCCCUCCCCCACCUCCCUGCAACUACCACCAAGUUGAGGAAUGGACCUUUGCAGACUCUCCAGAAACCACAUGUUCCUCAUCCCUGUCAGUCUCGCCAGCCCCUGCCUCAAAUUAACAUCACCACGAAUUCAACAUCUUGGUCCUUGCCCUUCUUGUGGUCUGUCAGUCACGUGCAUGCCUAGAAUCUAGAGUUUCCUCUUGCCCAUUUUCUUUUUAAUCUGAGGUCUUUAAAUCCCUUUCAUUCUACAAGUUCUCCUUCUACUCUUUUCUUUCCCAUACAACUUACCUGUUGUAGAAUUCACGGUUUUUGCCCAUAGAAUGUCCCAGUCUGGCUUUUGCCAAGUGCAAAGUUAUGGGGCAAUACAACACCAUCUUCUGUGCUCUCAACCUGCACAUUGGUUCCUGCAUCCAGAGCCCGAUCCUAAGGAUCUCUUUCUUAAGAUUACAGUCGGCAUUUUGUUUCUUUAUUGGGAGGCAUAUAACACUUGAUUGCUUCUCUCUGCGAUGCCAGCUGCUGUGGAUGCUGCUAGAGUCAUGAAUCCAUCAUGGGUUACACAAUGGUUAGCCUGAUGGCACCAUGGUUUCUGUUCUUGAACAGCAAUGCUGUGAUAAAGACAUGCCUCCCCUUAUCUAUGACUUGCUUCCCCUGAGGAACAGCUCACAGACAGACGAGGCUAAAUGCUUGAUUCUCUUCAUCUGUUUUCAAGAUAAUGAACUGGGACACUGUCGUUCCAUGAAUAUAAUAUUCUCUGAAUUUUCUUAUUAAUUUGUGGAUUAGACUUAUUUAAUAAGUUUCAAUCAGUUGAAAUUAACAUCCUUCCUGAAACUGAGAUUGUCCCAUCUCCCCUAAUAGGAGCCUUUUCAAGUUGGACUUGAGCCCUGGUAACACAGCCAUGGCCACCUUGACCUCUCCGCCCUCUGGUGCUGCCCAGGCCCAGAUCAUAUUCCACUCCCCCAGUACCUGGGAGCAGUCAUUUCCCCGAGAAACCCCACUUAUCCCGUGGCAAAGGUGUUUCCCAACUGUCCCAGGAGCACUGCGAGUGCUCACUAUAGAUGGCAGAGCUGGGAAAGGCCUUAGGAGUUUGAGCCAUUUCUUCCAAUUCAAAUUCAGGAUGAAAGAGUUUGAUUUAAUCUCCUCUUAUUUAACAUCUGUGUCUCCUUUGUUCAACACCAAAAGUUCUAGCAGCACUCAAGGAUGAUAGAAUCAGGAUAUCUCACAGAACUGCGCAUUUCUUCUAUUGCACAUUAUACACACAAUUGUUUCAGAAUAAAAAUAUUAUAUGUGUGUAUAUAUUAUAUAUCAGUAAUAAUGUUAUCACCACUGAUAUCAUGGCUAAAAAUAAUAUUUUUCUGUGUGUGUUUUCUGUUUCCACUUCCAUUUUAAAAUAGAAGUAUUGUGUCUACAUGGUCAAUUCAUAUAGCCAUUAUAUACAAUUUUUUCUCCCUUUUAGCCCUCAUUUUCCUAGUUCUACAGGUAACUAUAUAAAUGCUUAUCACUAGUCUUUAAUGAAAAUCUUUGUUGCCAUUUUUGGUUGAAGUUCAUUCUCUAGGAUGAGCUCUCUCUUAGCAUAGGCGCAUGGGAACAAUAUUUCUGAAUUCUUGAAUGCUGAUAACACUUCCUCUCUUUGAUACUUGAAAGUCAGUUUUGCUGGGUAUAAGAUUCUUGGUUCACAUUUUUUCCUUAAUAAAACUUAAUAGAUAUAAGAUUUUAGCUUUUUUCAGGCAUAAAGCUUUGCUGUAAAAGCAUGAUGAUACUCUAUUUUUGUAUUCCUUACAAUAUCUUGCUUUUCAACCUAGAUGCCAAAAAUGUUUUUUUUUAAUUUUUCUGUAAAAGUUUAGUAUUUUAAUGCGUAUAUCUUGGUGUUGGUUAUUCUGGAUCUAUAUUCUCAGGUAGCUGGCAUGUACUUUCAAUAUGGCCAUUUUAAAUCUCUCUUAAAGUAAGGAAAGUUGUUGUGAAAGACAGUUUUUAUACUGACUUUGUUUCCUGCUUUGAUUUUCUCCUGCAGGGUCCAUUUGUACAUGCCACCUUCUGUGCCUGCCUUUCAUAUUUGUCCUUUUGUAUUUCUUGAGUCCCCUUCUUUCUUACUUUCUUCCUUUUUUAUUUUAAAAAGCCUUUCUUUGUUACCUUCUAUUUUUCUUAAGGUAUUGUCUCUUGUGUUUCCUCCAUUCAUGUCUCUGAUAGCUUAGUUUUCAUUUCUGAAGUGAUUUUUAGCAUUUUUUAUUCUUCCUGUUUUAUCGUCUCAUUUCUGAAUUCUUUUAAAUGAUGAUUUUUGUUUUUAUUGCAUGUUUUAUAGAAUCUGUAAUCUCAUUUUGAACUACUACUAAGCUGUUUCCACCCAUUGUCUGAGCUGCAUCUCUGCCAUGCUUUAAUUGUCCAUAUAGAUAUUAUUCUGUGCCAUAUUAUCCAUUUUCUUAUAAAUACUGUUAGUGAAAAUUUGUCAUGUCUCAUUUUUUAAAUCAAUAUUUUGAACUAUUAAAAGCACGUAGCAUAAAAUUUACCAUUGUAACCAUUUUUUUUUUUUUUUUGAGAUGGAGUCUCGCUCUGUUGCCCAGGCUAGAGUGCAGUGGUGCGAUCUCAGGUCACUGCAAGCUCCGCCUCCUGGGUUCACGCCA
rnacentral:lncRNA from 10 species